CCUCACCAACAAUGGAAGCCAUGCUUGCCAAACUAUUCAGAGACUUAGGAAUGCCAUUAGAGCUCAUAGCAGGAGUAUAAGAACUACGUUCAUGGAAAGCCUCCCAGAGGAUAUGAGGUGCCAACAAUUCUAAAUUCGCUACAGAGAAGUGUACAAGCAGUUUUGGUGGGAAAAAUUCAAAUUCAGGACUGGUUUAGUAAUGGCAUUAAGAAAGCAGCUUUAAUGCACAAGUGGCCAUUAAAAGAAAUAUCUGUUGAUGAAGAUGACCAAUGUCUACUUCAGAAUGAUGGAUUUUUUCUUUAUCUAUUAUGCAAGGAUGGAUUAUAUAAAAUAGGCUCUGGAUACAGUGGAACAGUUAGGGGCCAUAUAUACAAUUCUACAUCCCGUAUUAGA
rnacentral:lncRNA from 10 species